UACGUAGGUGGCAAGCGUUGCCCGGAUUUACUGGGCGUAAAGAGCGCGCAGGCGGUCGUAUAAGUCGAAUGUGAAAGCCCCCGGCUCAACUGGGGAGGGUCAUUCGAUACUGUUCGACUCGAAGGCAGGAGAGGGAAGUGGAAUUCCGGGUGUAGUGGUGAAAUGCGUAGAUAUCUGGAGGAACACCGGUGGCGAAGGCGGCAUCCUGGACCGGUAUUGACGCUGAGGCGCGAAAGCCAGGGGAGCAAACGGG
rnacentral:rRNA from 1 species